GAUGAACGCUGGCGGCGUGCCUAAUACAUGCAAGUCGAGCGAACAGACGAGGAGCUUGCUCCUCUGACGUUAGCGGCGGACGGGUGAGUAACACGUGGAUAACCUACCUAUAAGACUGGGAUAACUUCGGGAAACCGGAGCUAAUACCGGAUAAUAUAUUGAACCGCAUGGUUCAAUAGUGAAAGACGGUUUUGCUGUCACUUAUAGAUGGAUCCGCGCCGCAUUAGCUAGUUGGUAAGGUAACGGCUUACCAAGGCAACGAUGCGUAGCCGACCUGAGAGGGUGAUCGGCCACACUGGAACUGAGACACGGUCCAGACUCCUACGGGAGGCAGCAGUAGGGAAUCUUCCGCAAUGGGCGAAAGCUUGACGGAGCAACGCCGCGUGAGUGAUGAAGGUCUUCGGAUCGUAAAACUCUGUUAUUAGGGGAGAACAAAUGUGUAAGUAACUAUGCACGUCUUGACGGUACCUAAUCAGAAAGCCACGGCUAACUACGUG
rnacentral:rRNA from 1 species